rnacentral:rRNA from 1 species
AAAUGUUGGGUUAAGUCCCGCAACGAGCGCAACCCUUAUCCUUAGUUGCCAGCGAUUCGGUCGGGAACUCUAGGGAGACUGCCGGUGAUAAACCGGAGGAAGGUGGGGACGACGUCAAGUCAUCAUGGCCCUUACGAGUAGGGCUACACACGUGCUACAAUGGUAUGUACAGAGGGAGGCAAGCUGGCGACAGUGAGCGGAUCUCUUAAAGCAUAUCGUAGUCCGGAUCGCAGUCUGCAACUCGACUGCGUGAAGUCGGAAUCGCUAGUAAUCGCAAAUCA